rnacentral:lncRNA from 1 species
CACUUCUAGGGUUUCGAACCCAAUACCUGAGCGUGGGUAGUCAAACUCCAUGAUCGAGAAUGUAGAUCUAAAAGUUUUCUCUAGUCUCUCAUAGCCGCAUAAGCAUCCGACCUCUAUGGAUGGUCCACACGAAGCCCCUCGAACCGAUCAGCCCUCCACGGAAGUGUUAGCUCGCACAGUCGGCUUCUGAUGGCAGAUCUGACUUGAUCUUCUUCUUCAAUUGUCUUGAACCUUUUUGAUAUUGAAGAUAGA